rfam:Saprospiraceae bacterium KD52 Scaffold1_3, whole genome shotgun sequence.
GGGGACGUACUGGAAUCGACAGGGAAGUAAACUGGUAAGUAAGCAUGCCGGAGCACGAUAGUUCACUCCGUUAACAAAUGGCUAUUAACACUUUUACAUGGCAAUACACAGUAUGCCAUGGCUGCCUAAGACUAGGUCUUAGAAAGCCUUUGUGCCGUACGCUUGACGCCUAAUACACAGCGUGCCGCAUAUCAACCAACCCUUUAGGCUAGUGGUCUGCCCUGCUCCGAACAGACUGCGAAAUUAAGGAGCUAAGGCUUGGUCAUAGGUGGGUACCGCGACCUCCCCCAAGCUCGAAAACCUCAAUGUGGUACUAAGCAUGUAGAAGGCUUAUGAGUGCUUUCGCUGGACGCGAGUUCGACUCUCGCCGUCUCCACAA